rnacentral:tRNA from 1 species
GGAAGGGUGGCUCAGUGGUAGAGCGCCGAUGGUUGGAAACCCGCAAUGGGCUUCGCGUGGUUCAAAUCCCGCCCCUUCCG